GGCGAACGGGUGAGUAACACCGUGGGUGAUCUGCCUUGCACUUCGGGAUAAGCUUGGGAAACUGGGUCUAAUACCGGAUAGGACAGCUGUUUAGUGUCAGUUGUGGAAAGUUUUUUCGGUGCAAGAUGAGCUUGCGGCCUAUCAGCUUGUUGGUGGGGUAAUGGCCUACCAAGGCGUCGACGGGUAGCCGGCCUGAGAGGGUGUACGGCCACAUUGGGACUGAGAUACGGCCCAGACUCCUACGGGAGGCAGCAGUGGGGAAUAUUGCACAAUGGGCGGAAGCCUGAUGCAGCGACGCCGCGUGGGGGAUGAAGGCCUUCGGGUUGUAAACUCCUUUCGACAGGGACGAAGCGUAAGUGACGGUACCUGUAUAAGAAGCACCGGCUAACUACGUGCCAGCAGCCGCGGUAAUACGUAGGGUGCGAGCGUUGUCCGGAAUUACUGGGCGUAAAGAGCUCGUAGGUGGUUUGUCGCGUCGUCUGUGAAAUUCCGGGGCUUAACUCCGGGCGUGCAGGCGAUACGGGCUGACUUGAGUGCUGUAGGGGAGACUGGAAUUCCUGGUGUAGCGGUGAAAUGCGUAGAUAUUAAAAAGAAUACCGGUGGCGAAGGCGACUUACUGGGCUCAUUCUGACGCUGAGGAACGAAAGCGUGGGUAGCAAACAGGAUUAGAUACCCUGGUAGUCCACGCUGUAAACGAUGAGUGCUAGGUAUCGGAAAAAUUCGGUGCCGCAGUUACACAUUAAGCACUCCGCCUGG
rnacentral:rRNA from 1 species